CACACACACACACACGCACACAAAGGUUUUUUUAAAUACAGUUUUUACUGUAUUAUUGAUUUUUAUCACCUGGGAAACAUGGAAACCAAAUGUAUUCAAACAAAGGACACAAAAGUGUAAGUUUAGUGUGUAGUGUGUAGUAUGUAGUGUAGUGUGUAGUGUGUAGUGCAGUGUGUAGUAUGUAGUGUAGUGUGUAGUGUGUAGUGCAGUGUGUAGUGUGUAGUAUGUAGUGUAGAGUGUAGUGUGUAGUGUGUAGUGUAGUGUGUAGUGUGUAGAGUGUAGUGUGUAGUGUGUAGUGCAGUGUGUAGAGUGUAGUAUGUAGUGUAGAGUGUAGAGUGUAGUGUGUAGUGUGUAGUGUAGUGUGUAGUAUGUAGUGUAGUGUGUAGUGUGUAGUGCAGUGUGUAGUGUGUAGUAUGUAGUGCAGUGUGUAGUGUGUAAUAUGUAGUGUAGAGUGUAGUGUGUAGUGUGUAGUGUAGUGUGUAGUAUGUAGUGUAGUGUGUAGAGUGUAGAGUGUAGUGUGUAGUGUAGUGUGUAGUAUGUAGUGUAGUGUGUAGUGUGUAGUGCAGUGUGUAGUGUGUAGUAUGUAGUGCAGUGUGUAGUGUGUAAUAUGUAGUGUAGAGUGUAGUGUGUAGUGUGUAGUGUAGUGUGUAGUAUGUAGUGUAGUGUGUAGUGUGUAGUGCAGUGUGUAGUGUGUAAUAUGUAGUGUUGUGUGUAGUAUGUAGUGUAGAGUGUAGUGUGUAGUGUGUAGUG
ensembl:lncRNA